CACUAAUAUGCGAGUACGAGCGAGAUGCAUAGAAAGUAAGUUACUUAAACGUGAGUGAAUAUGGGGGUUAUUCCCACUAGUUACCACCAAGUUGUUACCAGUGGUAACUACUGGGAAUUUUUUUCCCACCUUUUACCACUGGUAACUACUGGGAAUAAAAAUUCCCAGUAGUUACCACCAACUCGGUUUAGUGGUAACUACUGGGAAUUUUUAUUCCCAGUAGUUACCACCAAAAUUUUGUUAGACUUAAAUACUAAUAAAAACACUAUAAAUAGUGUAGUAUAAAUAUAUAGAGUCAUUUAAUAAAUAAUUAUAAGUCGAUUAGUGUUUUAGUAAACUCCCUUAAAAGUGACCAAAAAUAUUGAAACAGUUUAACCUGUACUAGUACAAAAACUAUGAUAUAUGUACUUAAGGAUAAAUAUAAUAAUCCAUUUAGAUGAUUUUUCAAGUGAUUUUAUUAGGUAAUUCAAAAUAACUCUAUUUAUACUAUUCAUACCUACUGUUUUUAUUAGUAUUUAACUCUAACAAAGUUUUGGUGGUAACUACUGGGAAUAAAAAUUCCCAGUAGUUACCACUAAACCGAGUUGGUGGUAACUAGUGGGAAUUUUUAUUCCCAGUAGUUACCAGUGGUAAAAGGUGGGAAAAAAAAUCCCAGUAGUUACCACUGGUAAAAACUUGGUGGUAACUAGUGGGAAUAACCCAAAAAGGGCGAUACUUAAGGGGCAGGAAAUUGAAUUGGUACCUAAUGGGAAAAAUGAAAAUAAAAUGCGCAUACAAACUCUCUACAUUUAUUCAUUCACAAUAUCAGUAUAUGUCUAUCUAAUAAUUAAAAUAGUAAUAUAAUAUAUACCUAAUAAAAUAAAAGUGAUUUGGUUAGACGUCAGUUUGUUCCCUUCAGUGAACCUACAUACCGUAUACAUGUAUACAUACAUAGGCAACCAGUACUGUACUGUCGCUUACUUGAGCUUAAUGUAUGUUAUAUUUGUCUACUAAAACUAGGUUUUAGGUAUUAUACAGUUCAGCUCCAACUUAAGUAGAGUAGUAUUCUAAUCACAGGGUCAAGUCGAAGCGGCCGUCGCGUCGUUAAAGUCUAUAAUAUUUAUAUCUAAAAUACCUCUUGGCAAAGAAAUCGGUCAGUUUCUAUUUCCACACUAAUCAAAUCAAGGUUAAAUUUGAAGCAUCUUACUCGAAGAAAUGCAUCAUUUUUAAUAAGCAUGCAAGGAACGAUUUGUAAAAAAAUGUUAAAAGAUGAUCCUGUUUAUCCUGAUGGGUAUCAAUAAGUACUUUUCUGUGUUCAAUAAUAAGCGGUCAGAGGACACAAAGUACUCGAACUGCAAAACAUUUCAAAACUUGAAAAAACCUUAUCAAAAUGGCCUAUUUCAUUGCAAGAGAUAGCAGAAGUUCUGCGGCACUAUCCUACGUAGGAAGCGUAAAAUCGAGAGCGUGCGCCACUUACAAUUAAAUUGUACUCAUUAUUAAAAUUAACAAACACAUAAAUGCACCGUUAUAGCAUCCGGCUUUUGAGCAGGUAAAGUAAAAUUGGCCUAAUACAUUCCAAAAAUACCAUAUUUUUUCAUGCGAAUCGUGUAAAAGUUAAGUAGCCAAUUUCGUUACACCUCACGACAUUGUGCGUUCUAUUCCAUCCUUGCUUACCAUUGCAAAGCAAAAAUAUCAAUUCAACUAAUAGGGCCCUAUCACACUGGCGAUAGGCGAGCGCGCAACAUCUCGCCGCGUUCAACGUAUUUUCAAAGAAUCCCAGUAUCUUAGUACGCAGCGAGAUCGGUGCGCUUGCCUCGCUUUCAACUCGCUCGCAAAUCGCUAGUGUGAUAGGGCCCAUAUUUAAACUCAAAAAUAUUUUGACACAGCUUAUUAUAAUCUAAUAAUUGUAAUAGAAUGCCAGUCAAUAUAUUUGUAAGUGAUAGUAGACUAGAUAUUUUUGAUGUUGCUAAGUGAAUCCAGAGGAGGCUAUUUUUGCGCGACUAUAAACUAAAAAGAAUCCAUCGAAGACAUAGUUAACUGAAUGAAGUUCAUUUAAGAAUGUCCUCCUUAUAAAAUAAAUAAGAUAAAACAUAAUUCGCCUAAUCGGAACCAUUCCAAAAGAUCUUCUUAAAAUAUCUGCCAUCUCUGGGGUCCUGAAAGUAAAAGAUAAAUAUUGUUAGUUGUAAGUUACUGUAAUAUUUAUAUGUUUAUAGGCAAUACAGGAAAUAUAAAGUUUAUAUUUUACGUAAUGGAA